AUUGAACGCUGGCGGCAUGCUUUACACAUGCAAGUCGAACGGCAGCACGAAAGAGCUUGCUCUUUUGGUGGCGAGUGGCGAACGGGUGAGUAAUGCAUCGGAACGUACCGAGUAAUGGGGGAUAACUGUCCGAAAGGAUAGCUAAUACCGCAUACGCUUUGAGAAGGAAAGUGGGGGCUCUUCGGACCUCACGUUAUUCGAGCGGCCGAUGUCUGAUUAGCUAGUUGGUGGGGUAAAGGCCUACCAAGGCGACGAUCAGUAGCGGGUCUGAGAGGAUGAUCCGCCACACUGGGACUGAGACACGGCCCAGACUCCUACGGGAGGCAGCAGUGGGGAAUUUUGGACAGUGGGCGCAAGCCUGAUCCAGCCAUGCCGCGUGUCUGAAGAAGGCCUUCGGGUUGUAAAGGACUUUUGUUAGGGAAGAAAAGGAUAGUGUUAAUACCAUUAUCUGCUGACGGUACCUAAAGAAUAAGCACCGGCUAACUACGUG
rnacentral:rRNA from 1 species